rnacentral:ncRNA from 2 species
GCCCCGGGCCGUGACUGGCGUUCGGGUGGAUCACCACCGGGGAGCGGCCCGGCGUACGCCUCCACGGUACGUACGUCGUCUGCCGCGCGCCUGGGCGAAACGC